AUUGAACGCUGGCGGCAGGCCUAACACAUGCAAGUCGAGCGAGAGGCGGACGGGUGAGUAAUGUAUGGGGACUGCCCGAUAGAGGGGGAUAACUACUGGAAACGGUAGCUAAUACCGCAUACUACCGGAUUACCCAUAUGGGAUUAGCUAGUAGGUGGGGUAAAGGCUAACCAAGGCGACGAUCCCUAGCUGGUUUGAGAGGACGACCAGCAACACUGGGACGUAGACACGGGCCAGACUCCGACGGAGGCAGCAGUGGGGAAUUUUGGACAAUGGGGGAAACCCUGAUCCAGCCAUCCCGCGUGUAUGAUGAAGGCCUUCGGGUUGUAAAGUACUUUUGGCAGAGAGGCGGUAUCUGCAGAAUAAGCACCGGCUAACUACGUGCCAGCAGCCGCGGUAAUAC
rnacentral:rRNA from 1 species